rnacentral:rRNA from 1 species
UUUUUAGUGNCCNNCNGACGCGGUUAGACUUAGGGGCCCCAUCGCCUUUAUGAGCAAAGUGGCUUNNUAAAGUGUGUGUAGGCCGUACUGCCCCACCCGCCANCAUGGUGNGUAGAUGGCUUUUUUCUGUAGCGGUAGUUAAUGUGCAGGAUAGUUAAAAUAGAACUCCUGUAGUUCUGAAUCACUUUGAGUCCUACGGUGUGUGAUGGGGUGGCCCCCUGAUUGGUGCAUGCCCCUCGGAGACUCCGUGCUCGAAACACGAGUGGCUGUGGGGGGCAAUCNGGGUUUCACUUGACCGCUGGUCGUCGAGCGCNUGUAGACGAUGGAUAAAAUGACGCAUGUAGUCCCCGACAGGGGGUNCAAUCUCUCGCCUGAGUAGUACGAUCGCAAGAUUAAAAUUCAAAAAAUUUGGCUGUUCACCGUUUCAAUUAGAGGAGCGUGUAGUUUAAUUCGAUAAACCGCGAGAUACCUUACCCAAACUUGAAUCCUUGAGGAUUCUAAGGAAUCCUUAUGGACCGGUAUUGCAUGGCCGUCGUCAGUUCGUGUAUGAAACUUAAAACGGACCCAACCCGAAGAUUAACCGCGGAUGAAGUCAGGUCUUAUGGUCCCAAUGUUUGGGGAUAAUAUGCGCUACAUUUUCUUAUACAAUGGGAAACCUGGGAGGUGAAACCCCAAAGUGAGAGUUCGGUAGGCUAUUGGAAGAUGGCCGAAAGUUGAAUUUAAUAGUAAUCGGAAAGNUAUAGCGCUGUCCGGUGAAAUGGUCUAGGUGUUAGCACAAAUCGCCCGUUAUAA